rnacentral:rRNA from 1 species
GACGAACGCUGGCGGCGUGCUUAACACAUGCAAGUCGAACGGAAAGGCCCUGCUUUUGUGGGGUGCUCGAGUGGCGAACGGGUUAGUAACACGUUAGUAACCUGCCCUUUACUUUGGGAUAACUUCAGGAAACUGGGGCUAAUACCUGAUAGGAGCUCCUGCUGCAUGGUGGGGGUUGGAUAGUUUCGGCGGUUGGGGAUGGACUCGCGGCUUAUCAGCUUGUUGGUGGGGUAGUGGCUUACCAAGGCUUUGACGGGUAGCCGGCCUGAGAGGGUGACCGGCCACAUUGGGACUGAGAUACGGCCCAGACUCCUACGGGAGGCAGCAGUGGGGAAUAUUGCACAAUGGGCGGAAGCCUGAUGCAGCAACGCCGCGUGCGGGAUGACGGCCUUCGGGUUGUAAACCGCUUUCGCCUGUGACGAAGCGUGAGUGACGGUAAUGGGUAAAGAAGCACCGGCUAACUACGUG